GUGGAUUAGCUGCUUUAGCCAC
rnacentral:siRNA from 1 species